rnacentral:lncRNA from 1 species
GUAUAAGUCACCCUAACGAAAAACGAGGUCAACAUAACUAUCAAAAUAUUACACAUUCAAGAAAGUCAAAUUAACCUACCAAUGCACUAAUUAAUAGCUAAAAGAAUAAAUUAAACCACUAGUCACUAAUUAAUGCAAUAACCGUUAAGUGAAUGAGACCCUCAAAAACUCAGAGAUUAACUCUUCCAUUAAACUAUAAUGUAAAUAACUGAUAUUCAACUACGAAUUAUGAAGUUGAGGUAAAG